rnacentral:rRNA from 1 species
GAUGAACGCUGGCGGCGUGCCUAGUACAUGCAAGUCGAGCGAACGGACGAGAAGCUUGCUUCUCUGAUGUUAGCGGCGGACGGGUGAGUAACACGUGGAUAACCUACCUAUAAGACUGGGAUAACUUCGGGAAACCGGAGCUAAUACCGGAUAAUAUUUUGAACCGCAUGGUUCAAAAGUGAAAGACGGUCUUGCUGUCACUUAUAGAUGGAUCCGCGCUGCAUUAGCUAGUUGGUAAGGUAACGGCUUACCAAGGCAACGAUGCAUAGCCGACCUGAGAGGGUGAGCGGCCACACUGGAACUGAGACACGGUCCAGACUCCUACGGGAGGCAGCAGUAGGGAAUCUUCCGAAAUGGGCGAAAGCCUGAAGGAGCAACGCAGCGUGAGUGAUGAAGGGCUUCGGAUCGUAAAACUCUGUUAGUAGGGAAGAAAAUAUGUGUAAGUAACUGUGCACAUCGUGAAGGUACCUAAUCAGAAAGCCACGGCUAAAUACGUGC